GUAGAAUGGAUCCAAGAUUUAUCAAAGUAUAAACACAAUGAGAGCAAACAAUUAAUGCACCUGUCAUAACAUCUAGUAGUGAAUCUGAAAUCUAUCAUUCGGCUAGUGAAUAUAUAAGGUUCUGGAUGCGACCAGAAUAGAUGAUCCCUAUCUAUCUCCGCCUCUGCCUCUACCUACUGAAGUUUGGGGUCCACGCCCUGUAGAAUGUGCUGAUGAGGAGGAACCUACUACUGACCCGAUCAAUU
rnacentral:misc_RNA from 1 species